rnacentral:rRNA from 1 species
GAUGAACGCUGACAGAAUGCUUAACACAUGCAAGUCUUUGGCUAAUCUGUGCUUGCACAGGCUAGCCAAUGCGGACGGGUGAGUAACGCGUAAAGAACUUGCCCUGCAGACAGGGAUAACAUACGGAAACGACUGAUAACACCUUAUCCAGUUGCCGGCACGCAUGUGCCUUGCAAUGAAAAGAAAUGCUGCAGGAGGGCUUUGCGUCCUAUUCGCUUGUUGUUGAGGUGACGGCUCACCAAGGCGAUGAUAGGUAGCCGGCCUGAGAGGGUGAACGGACACAAGGGGACUGAGAUACGGCACUUACUCCUACGGGAGGCAGCAGUGGGGAAUAUUGGACAAUGGGGGCAACACUGAUACAGAAAUUCUGUGUGCACGAAGAAGGUUUUCGGAUUGUAAAGUGCUUUCAGAAGGGAAGAAGAAAGUGACGGUACCUGCAGAAGAAGCGACGGCUAAAUACGUG